CAUAUACUCCCUCCGUCCGGAAAUACUUGUCAUUGAAAUGGAUGUAUCUAGAUGUACUUUAGUUCUAGAUACAUCCAUUUUCAUCCAUUUUGAUGACAAGUAAUUCCGGACGGAGGGAGUACAUC
rnacentral:pre_miRNA from 1 species